GGUAUGGCGCGUGCGUGGUGUAUUCUAGAACUGCUCUUUUAGCACUUCUCAUUUUCUUUAAUUGACCUCUAUUGCUGUUCCAAGAGUUUUAUGCAUAGGAAGGAUUUGACUCGUGAUGGGUUUUGGUAAAAGUUUUGAACUUUCUGCAUUUGAUUAUAUUGUCAAUCGUCUUUGUAGACAAGACAUAGCAUUGCUUUUAUAGGUUUGAAUGCAAAUAACAGGGAUCGGAUGCCCUCUUUGAAGGUUAUAUAUGGUUCAGCUUGUGUAAUGCAUAAUCAGUUUUAUAAAUAUCUUAGUCUCUAAUUUUUCCUAUAUCAAAUCCUUGCUUACUUAGCUCUCUGUUCUGCUUCCUUGAUUAACCUUUCUGUUGGCCUUUACUGAAGCCACUUGGUUGUUUAAUUUUGUAAUGUGAUUUGGUUCAUUUUUCCAGGCAGAGUGUGUCCCUUUACUGGGAAG
rnacentral:misc_RNA from 1 species